rnacentral:tRNA from 1 species
UCCCUGGUGGCUCAGAUGGUAAAGCGUCUGCCUGCAAUGCAGGAGACCUGGGUUCGACUCCUGGGUUGGGAA